rnacentral:lncRNA from 1 species
GCCCGCCCGCCGCCAUGGCGGCGCCUCCCGCGGCGCCCGCCUGCCCGUGACGGCCGCAGCGCCGGGCGGGCGAGAGCGUCUCUGGGAAAGCCAUCUGGGAGCCUGAGAAGGUACUAUAGAUGUGACUGAAUGCUGCCAUGAGAGUCCAGCCAUAGAAACAUUCCCGACUGGUGCUUCACUGAAGCUGUUGACCCCUGCUUGUAAGUCAUGUUUUCACUGGAGGAUCAAAACUUGUGCUGCGCCACCAUAGGCAUGAAGAUACACA